rnacentral:rRNA from 1 species
UACGGAGGGUGCAAGCGUUAAUCGGAAUUACUGGGCGUAAAGCGUACGCAGGCGGCUUUUUAAGUCGGAUGUGAAAGCCCCGGGCUCAGCCUGGGAAUUGCAUCUGAUACUGGGAAGCUAGAGUAUGUGAGAGGGGGGUAGAAUUCCAAGUGUAGCGGUGAAAUGCGUAGAGAUUUGGAGGAAUACCAGUGGCGAAGGCGGCCCCCUGGCACAAUACUGACGCUCAGGUGCGAAAGCGUGGGGAGCAAACAGG